rnacentral:rRNA from 1 species
AUUGAACGCUGGCGGCAGGCCUAACACAUGCAAGUCGAGCGGAGCGACGGACGGGUGGGUGAUGCCUAGGUAUCUACCUGGUAGUGGGUGAUAGCGUCCGGAAACGGGCGCUAGUACCUCAUACUAUCAGUGGAGCGUAGGUCGGAUUCGCUAGUUGGUGUGGUAAGGGCCUACCAAGGCGACGAUCCGUCACUCGGCUGAGAGGACGAUCAGGCACACUGGAACUGAGACACGGUCGAGACUCCUACGGGAGGCAGCAGUGGGGAAUAUUGGACAAUGGGCGAAAGCCUGAUCCAGCCAUGCCGCGUGUGUGAAGAAGGUCUUCGGAUUGUAAAGCACUUUAAGUUGUGAGGCGUUACCAACAGAAUAAGCACCGGCUAACUUCGUGCCAGCAGCCGCGGUAAUUC